rnacentral:lncRNA from 1 species
ACAAGUAACCCAACAUUGGGAUGAAACUUCAUCUGUUCAUCAAAACAAGUCUGCUCCAUCAGCUGCAUUUUAUUAUGAAGAAGUAAUCCAAACUGGGAGUGAAACAGGUAACAGCAGCUUACAGAAUUCAGAGGACAUAACUGCAGCACUGUCACACAGCUAUUUGAACCAUAACGCUCAACAUUUUGUCUCAAAAAACUAUUUUGAACAGAAUCAGAAAAUGAGGAAGCUCCCAAUGAGAGUCGCAAAACAAAAACAGGUCGCUCCACCAACUGUCUCAAAGUCCAGUAUAUUUUAAACAGAAUUAAAAAAUGUGGAAGCUCCCAAUAAGAGUCGCAAAACAAAAACAGGUCGCUCCACCAACUGUCUCAAAGUCCAGACGAACAAAGAUCACCAAUUAAGCAGCCAGAUUUGUUGACAAAUUCUUGUGAC